rnacentral:rRNA from 1 species
GACGAACGCUGGCGGCGUGCUUAACACAUGCAAGUCGAACGGAAAGGCCCUGCUUUUGUGGGGUGCUCGAGUGGUGAACGGGUGAGUAACACGUGAGUAACCUGCCCUUGACUUUGGGAUAACUUCAGGAAACUGGGGCUAAUACCGGAUAGGAGCUCCUGCUGCAUGGUGGGGGUUGGAAAGUUUCGGCGGUUGGGGAUGGACUCGCGGCUUAUCAGCUUGUUGGUGGGGUAGUGGCUUACCAAGGCUUUGACGGGUAGCCGGCCUGAGAGGGUGACCGGCCACAUUGGGACUGAGAUACGGCCCAGACUCCUACGGGAGGCAGCAGUGGGGAAUAUUGCACAAUGGGCGGAAGCCUGAUGCAGCAACGCCGCGUGCGGGAUGACGGCCUUCAGGUUGUAAACCGCUUUCGCCUGUGACGAAGCGUGAGUGACGGUAAUGGGUAAAGAAGCACCGGCUAACUACGUG